rnacentral:tRNA from 1 species
GCCCGGGUAGUUAAUUAUAAACACUUAGGUCGUGACCCUAAAAAUAGAGGCUCUCUUCCGGGCU